rnacentral:lncRNA from 1 species
GGGGGGGAGGGGCGGCGAGGCGAGGCCUGCGGAGCGGAGGAAGACAAACAUAAAGAUGAAGUGCUUAAUUCAAGGUCACACAAUGUCGGGGAUGGACCUCCAGAUUUCCUUACUGACCUGCAUUAUCUUGUGGAUACCUGAGUGAAUUCCACACCACCCAUUUUAUAGAUGAAACCACUGAGACAUGGAGCAAUUGACUGAGUAGUCACUGCCCCACCCCUGCCUGGAGCCUCACACAUGACUCGCCUCCUCUCAGUGACCACAGGUGAGACGUGGUCUUGUAACACAGUGGUUAAGAAUGUGACUUUGGAGCCAGCCUGCUAGGGGCUGAAUUCUGACUCAGCCAUUUACUAACUGUGUGACCUUAGGCUGGAGUGCAAUGGCAUGAUCUCGGCUCAUCACAACCUCUGCUUCCUGGGUUCAAGCGAUUCUCCUGCCUCAGCCUCCCGAGUACCUGGGACUACAGGCACUCGCCACCAUGCCCGGCUGAUUUUUGUAUUUUUAAUAGAGAUGGUUUCACUAUGUUGGCCAGGCUGGUCUCGAACUCCUGACCUUGUGAUCUGCCCACCUCAGCCUCGAAAAGUGCUGGGAUUACAGGCGUGAGCCACUGCGCCCAGCCUUGUAUUUUUUUUCAGUUUGGGUAGCUGUCCCUAAUUCAUUUGUUAAAGGAGAAGCAAGAGCAAGAACCUUUAAUCUGUUCUCCUCUUCCCUAAUUUGAAAGUAGCUUGUUAUUUUGAAUAUCACUUUCUCUGAAAUAGCACAUCUCCAUCUCAGAGAAUGGAUUUAAUGUUUGGAUACAGCCAAAAGUCAUUUCAUUACCAAACCAUGGGGUGAAUAUACCAUGUAAAGCAGUUUGGGAUCAGAACUCACAGUCUGAAUUGUAAGUGAUGAGACUGCUGUCUCUCUGCUACAGCUUCUUGGCUGGCUCUGAAGGCUCUUUGAAGGCAGAUCCUAACAAGGGGACUGCUUUGAAGGGCCAUUGUUCAUUUGGAAUGAUAAAGUCUAUGUUGUUCAAAAAACAAAUGCUUGUAGCAGGUAUUUUUUCACUCCAGACUGAGAAUAUUGGUGGGAUAUUGAUAAGGGGUACUGAAUGGUAAUAAACAUGUGCUCUAGCUCUGUGCUAGUCAGCUUAUUUCAGAACUCUAGUUUGAUUCAGUUUCUUGCCUCUGACUCAAAAUGGAGGGAGAGUGAUUUUUACAUAAGAGAACACACCCACAUAUCCUUUUGGCAGCAGCUACCUGCCAGAGAUGUUGAAGAAGAGUAGCCAACCUUUACACAGCAGAUAUUGUGUGCCAGUCAUAGUCCUAAGUAUAAUACCUUACAUGUAUAAACUUCUUAUAAGGUUGGUGCUCUGUACCGAAUUGAAUAGUAUCCCCCAAAAUUCAUGUUGUCCCAGAACCUAUGAAAGUGAUCUUACUUGAGGGAGGGGGGAGGGGGGAGGGAUAGCAUUAGGAGAUAUACCUAAUGCUAAAUGACGAGUUAAUGGGUGUAGCACACCAGCAUGGCACAUGUAUACAUAUGUAACUAACCUGCACAUUGUGCACAUGUACCCUAAAACUUAAAGUAUAAUAAUAAUAAAAUAAAAAAAAAAAAGAAAGUGAUCUUACUUGGAAAUAAGGUCUUUGCACAUAUGAUCAAGUUGAGAUGAAGUUGUACUGGAAAGUCUGUCUAGUGACUGGUGUUGUCAUAAGAAGAGAGGGACACAGAGGGAAGAUGGCCACAUGAAGAUGGAGGCAGAGAUUGCAGUUAUGCUGCUGCAAACUAAGGAAUGGCUCUGGCCCUCCAAGGAUUGCUGAUAACCACCAGAAACUAGAAGAGACAAGGAAGGAUUCUUCCCUAGAGCCUUCAGAGGGAGCAUGGCCCUACUGACACCUGGAUUUCAAACUUGUAGCUUCCUAAACUGCAAGAGAAUAAAUUUCUGUUGUUUUAAGCCA